AUGGGUGCUAAUCGCCCGCUCGCCAGCCGCCGUUCAGUCGCAGUACUCACAGUUCACGGGACACUGAGCGCCGCGGACUCGGAGCCCCCCCCCCCCCCCGCCCCCGCAGAGUCAUCACCGCAACGCGCAGAGGAUCCCGGGCUCCCGUCCCCGCUCUGUCGGAUGGGGCCGGAACCGGUCUGUCAGGCCGGCGGUGGAGCCGGGAAGCAGCGGGGAGCGAGCCUGCAGCCUCCCCGCCUGCCAACCCCGCUCGUCUUUGCUGCUACUCGAGUUGCGUCCAAUUCACGUUCCAGCCACUCACUCCAGACCCAGCUUCUGCUCCGGCUGCCCAGGCAAACGAAAACUGGCAACAUCAAAAAUACAUACUGUGCAGGGAGAGGGGGAAGAUGGCGGAAGAGUAAGACGUGGAGAUCACCUUCCUCCCCACAGAUACAUCAGAAAUACAUCUACACGUGGAACAGCUCCUACAGAACACCCACUGAACGCUGGCAGAAGACCUCAGACCUCCCAAAAGGCAAGAAACUCCCCACGUACCUGGGUAGGGCAAAAGAAAAAAGAAUAAACAGAGACAAAAGAAUAGGGACAGGACCUGCACCAGUGGGAGGGAGCUGUGAAGGAGGAAAGGUUUCCACACACUAGGAAGGCCCUUCUCGGGUGGAGACUGUGGGUGGCGAAGGGGGAAAGCUUCGGCGCCGCGGCAGAGAGCGCAGCAACAGGGGUGCGGACGGCAAAGUGGAGAGAUUCCCACACAGAGGAUUGGUGCUGACCAGCACUCACCAGCCUGAGAGGCUUCUCUGCUCACCCGCUGGUGCGGGCGGGGGCUGGGAGCUGAGGAUCCGGCUUCGGUCGGAGCGCAGGGAGAGGACGGCGGUUGGCAGCAUGCACACAGCCUGCAGGGGGUUAGUGCACCAUGGCUAGCCUGGAGGGAGUCAGGGGAAAGUCUGGACCUGCCGAAGAGGCAAGAGACUUUUUCUUCCCUCUUUGUUUCCUGGUGCACGAGAAGAGGGGAUUAAGAGCACUGCUUAAAGGAGCUCCAGAGACGGGCACGAGCCGAGGCUAUCAGGGCAGACCCCAGAGACGGGCAUGAGAUGCUAAGACUGCUGCUGCCGCCACCAAGAAGCCUGUGUGCAAGCAUAGGUCACUACCCCCACCUCCCAUCCCGGGAGCCUGUGGAGCCCGCCACUGCCAGGGUCCCGGGAUCCAGGGACAACUUACCCGGGAGAACGCACGGCGCGCCUCAGGCUGGUGCAAAGUCACGCUGGCCUCUGACACCACAGGCUUGCCCCGCAUCCAUACACCUCCCUCCCCCCGCCGGAGUGAGCCAGAGUCCCCGAAUCAGCGGCUCCUUUAACCCCGUCCUGUCUGAGGGAAGAACAGAUGCCCUCAGGCGACCUACACACAGAGGCGGGGACAAAUCCGAAGCUGAACCCCAGGAGCUGUGCGAACAAAGAAGAAAAAGGGAAAUCUCUCCCAGCAGCCUCGGGAGCAGAGGAUUAAAUGUCCACAAUCAACCUGAUGUACCCUGCAUCUGUGGAAUACCUGAAUAGACAACCAACCAUCCCAAAUUGAGGAGGUGGACUUUGAGAGCAAGAUAUAUAAUUUUUUCCCCUUUUUCUCUUUUUGUGAGUGUGUAUGUGUAUGCUUCUGUGUGAGAUUUUGUCUGUAUAGCUUUGCUUUCACCAUUUGUCCUAGGGCUCUGUCC
rnacentral:lncRNA from 1 species